ACGAAGGGAGCUAGCGUUGUUCGGAAUUACUGGGCGUAAAGGGCGCGUAGGCGGUUUGACAAGUCAGAUGUGAAAGCCCAGGGCUCAACCCUGGAACUGCGUUUGAUACUGUCUUUCUUGAAUUCGGGAGAGGUAAGUGGAAUUCCCAGUGUAGAGGUGAAAUUCGUAGAGAUUGGGAAGAACACCAGUGGCGAAGGCGGCUUACUGGACCGAUAUUGACGCUGAGGCGCGAAAGUGUGGGGAGCAAACAG
rnacentral:rRNA from 1 species